rnacentral:rRNA from 1 species
GCAGUCGCCGCGGUAAUACGAAGGGUGCAAGCGUUACUCGGAAUUACUGGGCGUAAAGCGUGCGUAGGUGGUGGUUUAAGUCCGUUGUGAAAGCCCUGGGCUCAACCUGGGAAUUGCAGUGGAUACUGGGUCACUAGAGUGUGGUAGAGGAUAGUGGAAUUUCCGGUGUAGCAGUGAAAUGCGUAGAGAUCGGAAGGAACAUCUGUGGCGAAGGCGGCCCCCUGGACAAAGACUGACGCUGAUGCACGAAAGCUAGGGGAGCAAACAGGAUUAGAUACCCGUGUAGUCCCUGUCUCUUAUAC